UAAGACGUGCCUUUUGCCUUCCGCCAUGAUUGUGAGGCCUCCCCAGCCACGUUGAACUGUCUGGCCACUCAAAUACCGCCUGACACAAGGGGAAGUGUGAUGGACAGAGAAGGCACGAGACGAGACAGUGGCUUGAACAAAUCACAGUCAAGGAUCCAGCUCUAAUGAAACCAGAGUCAGCACCUUGGAAUCCCAGAAACCAAACUGGCUGAACCCCCCCACCUGCCACUAGGCGAUAGCAGUGCCCUCAAAAACAGGAAGCUUCUGCCGAGGGACACAGCAAGUUCUGGGAAGGAGACCCACAGUGACGCAGUCAGGCUAAGGGAGUCCAACAGACAGCAGAAGACUUGUGAGGGUCAUGGUGUUGUCUCCUUCUCCCUGCUCCCACAGUCUUUGUCAGUA